ensembl:lncRNA
UGUGCCACAUCAUCACUUAGUACAUUCUCUGACUCUCUAGCAUCAUAUCAACAUCAUCAUGAUUCAAACAUUAUUCAUAUUGAAAGUGACGCCAAUAAACAACCAAAAAUAAGACAUGACUGUACCACUUGAACAUGCCAGGUUUCCUAGCAACAGCAAUUUAACUAGUAUGUCCAUGCCUAAUUUGCUUUUAAAAUCUGUGCCAAGACUCCCACCUCGGAUAUGAGCCACCGAAAUAUCAGCUUCACCACCACUGAUGGCGAUAUCACUCCCGAAGGAGAAAAGCAGCAUUCAGAAGAUGGUGGUCUUUAAAGCAAUGCCCUGCUCAUGUUGUUGUCAUUCUUGGCUUUGCUCCUGUCACAGAAAGCUUAGCUGCUCAAACUAGAAAAUCCCUUCUUUCUACGGUUACCAAGGAAACUAUUUACUGAGACUCUUUCCCCCCACAGCAUUCAUUCUCGGUUGCCGAAUCAAGAAAAGUACUUACAUUUCGACUUCCACUCUGUGCAUAAUAAGACUAUUACAAGCACAAUGUGUUAUCUGCCUGAAAUGCCAAAGGAUCGCAGGCCUGAGAGGACUUACGAAAAAACUGAUGUGUUUUUAUUGUAUUCCCCUUCUGACGCUGAAUUGAUUGUAAUUGCUGAUGUCUCGGACGUGUAUUUGCUUCUGAAGUCUGUCAUGGUUUGAAAAGGUUUAAGGAUUAUUGUGGAAAAGGAGCAUGAGCUCAAAAUGACUGCUUUUAUUAUUUCACCAACAAUGAAGCCGUAUAAUAGUGCAUCAAAAUUUAUGAAUACGAGCGACUUGUGGAUCUAUCUGGGUCAGUGCUCAAAUCGAAGAAAAUGGGUCAAGAGACAUCAGAGAGACAGACAGAGAUCCUCUAGUCUAAGCUGUUUGGACUCUCAUUCUGACGGCACCCAUUCACUGCAGAGGAUCCAUUGAUGAGCAAGUGAUGUAAUGCUAAAUUUCUCCAAAUCCGUUAAAUCUUGGAUGGCCUGAUGAACUCCAUUUAAGGGUUAUUCUUCACUCAGUCAGAAUGAACCGUCUGGUGCUGCUCAGGAAAACAGUGGCUUGUCAGAACCGAGACCUCAUCUGGAUUGCCC